GACGAACGCUGGCGGCGUGCCUAAUACAUGCAAGUCGAACGCAGUGGGGACGGGUGAGUAACACGUGGGUAACCUCCCAUCAGAGGGGAUAACCCUUGGCAACUGGUGCUAAACCGAUACUGAUGGAUGGACCCGCGGGGCAUUAGCUAGUUGGUGAGGUAACGGCUCACCAAGGCGACGAUGCAUAGCUGAUCUGAGAGGGUGAUCGGCCACACUGGGACUGAUACACGGCCCAGACUCCUACGGGAGGCAGCAGUAGGGAAUCUUCGGCAAUGGGCGAAAGUCUGACCGAGCAAUGCCGCGUGAGUGAAGAAGGUUUUCGGAUCGUAAAGCUCUGUUGUUAGAGAAGCGGUAUCUAACCAGAAAGCAACGGCUAACUACGUGCCAGCAGCCGCGGUAAGUC
rnacentral:rRNA from 1 species